CCUACGGGAGGCAGCAGUGGGGAAUAUUGCACAAUGGGCGAAAGCCUGAUGCAGCGACGCCGCGUGAGGGAUGACGGCCUUCGGGUUGUAAACCUCUUUCAGCAGGGAAGAAGCGAAAGUGACGGUACCUGCAGAAGAAGCGCCGGCUAACUACGUGCCAGCAGCCGCGGUAAUACGUAGGGCGCAAGCGUUGUCCGGAAUUAUUGGGCGUAAAGAGCUCGUAGGCGGCUUGUCACGUCGGUUGUGAAAGCCCGGGGCUUAACCCCGGGUCUGCAGUCGAUACGGGCAGGCUAGAGUGUGGUAGGGGAGAUCGGAAUUCCUGGUGUAGCGGUGAAAUGCGCAGAUAUCAGGAGGAACACCGGUGGCGAAAGGCGGAUCUCUGGGGCCAUUACUGACGCUGAGGAGCGAAAGCGUGGGAGCGAACAGGAUUAGAUACCUGGUAGUCCACGCCGUAAACGGUGGGAACUAAGGUGUUGGCGACAUUCCACGUCGUCGGUGCCGCAGCUAACGCAUUAAUUCCCGCCUGGGGAGUACGGCCGCAAGGCUAAAACUACAAAAUGAAUUGACGG
rnacentral:rRNA from 1 species